rnacentral:rRNA from 1 species
AGAGUUUGAUCCUGGCUCAGGAUGAACGCUAGCUACAGGCUUAACACAUGCAAGUCGAGGGGCAGCAUCAUCAAAGCUUGCUUUGAUGGAUGGCGACCGGCGCACGGGUGAGUAACACGUAUCCAACCUGCCGACAACACUGGGAUAGCCUUUCGAAAGAAAGAUUAAUACCGGAUGGCAUAGUUUUUCCGCAUGGGAUAAUUAUUAAAGAAUUUCGGUUGUCGAUGGGGAUGCGUUCCAUUAGGCAGUUGGCGGGGUAACGGCCCACCAAACCAACGAUGGAUAGGGGUUCUGAGAGGAAGGUCCCCCUCAUUGGAACUGAGACACGGUCCAAACUCCUACGGGAGGCAGCAGUGAGGAAUAUUGGUCAAUGGACGAGAGUCUGAACCAGCCAAGUAGCGUGAAGGAUGACUGCCCUAUGGGUUGUAAACUUCUUUUAUACGGGAAUAAAGUUAGCCACGUGUGGCUUUUUGUAUGUACCGUAUGAAUAAGGAUCGGCUAACUCCGUGCCAGCAGCCGCGGUAAUACGGAGGAUCCGAGCGUUAUCCGGAUUUAUUGGGUUUAAAGGGAGCGUAGGCGGGUUGUUAAGUCAGUUGUGAAAGUUUGCGGCUCAACCGUAAAAUUGCAGUUGAUACUGGCGACCUUGAGUGCAACAGAGGUAGGCGGAAUUCGUGGUGUAGCGGUGAAAUGCUUAGAUAUCACGAAGAACUCCGAUUGCGAAGGCAGCUUACUGGAUUGUAACUGACGCUGAUGCUCGAAAGUGUGGGUAUCAAACAGGAUUAGAUACCCUGGUAGUCCACACAGUAAACGAUGAAUACUCGCUGUUGGCGAUAUACGGUUCAGCGGCCAAGCGAAAGCAUUAAGUAUUCCACCUGGGGAGUACGCCGGCAACGGUGAAACUCAAAGGAAUUGACGGGGGCCCGCACAAGCGGAGGAACAUGUGGUUUAAUUCGAUGAUACGCGAGGAACCUUACCCGGGCUUAAAUUGCAACUGACUGAACCGGAAACGGUUCUUUCUUCGGACAGUUGUGAAGGUGCUGCAUGGUUGUCGUCAGCUCGUGCCGUGAGGUGUCGGCUUAAGUGCCAUAACGAGCGCAACCCUUAUCGAUAGUUACUAGCAGGUCAUGCUGAGGACUCUAUUGAGACUGCCGUCGUAAGAUGUGAGGAAGGUGGGGAUGACGUCAAAUCAGCACGGCCCUUACGUCCGGGGCUACACACGUGUUACAAUGGGGGGUACAGAAGGCAGCUACACGGCGACGUGGUGCUAAUCCCGAAAGCCUCUCUCAGUUCGGAUUGGAGUCUGCAACCCGACUCCAUGAAGCUGGAUUCGCUAGUAAUCGCGCAUCAGCCACGGCGCGGUGAAUACGUUCCCGGGCCUUGCACUCACCGCCCGUCA